UCGCUCCGUCCAUUUUUUCCCUUUUGGAAAACGUUAAUUUUCGUAUACCUAUCUAUUGUAGUGUUUGAGACAUUUUUUUUUUCACCGUCUUCUUCUUCGUCGCCCGCGUGGCGCGCGUAUCAUCGUCACCGUCUCGAUUCGGCGCCGCCACCGCACCGCUGCCGACGCCGAAGUCGUAUUCCGGGUGACGAUUCGUUGCGCGGCGCACGUGCGAAUAUACUGUUGUGGCGACUUGACGGCGGUUUCAGCGGUGACCAUAGUAAUAUAGGCUCCCGCGCGAAGUUUAGGCACCUCAUAUUUAAUACCAUUAUUGUCGUAGCUGCUGUCGUCGUAAUAAUUACGACUUAAAUUUUCGUUCGUCGAAUCACUCCUGUCCACAAAUAUAAUAAUAUACUCUUGACCGUUUUAAUCGUUUUUGUUGUUGUUGUUGUUGUUUUUUUUUAAUUGUUCUUGUUAUUGUUGUUGUGUUACGGGUGCAGUAAUUUUUGGCGUACGUCACAAAGACCACCGGUAAAGCUCUUUUAAUAAAUCAUAUACAAAUAUUGAAUAAAUCUACAUAUUUUUGCUAAAGAUCUGUUCGACUUCAGAGAAAACCAAAAUCAUUUAUUAAGUACGCAACCAUGUAGGACAAGCCGACAAAAGCAAUUUCAUUUUUUCAAACCAAUCGACUAAUAACUUACACACGGCGCACGGUACAGCGAUAUUGAUCACUCAUCAGUGUGUAUUUUAUACGUCAAAAUAUAUCAACAACAUUUGAUACUUCUCAACGAAUUUACGGAAUAUAAAAAUCAGUCGGUUCUGACAACGGUGGUGACGAUGACCAACACUGCAUGUGCAAUAUGAGUAUUGGCGCGCAGCGGUGAUGGUUCCAUGGACGACGACGGCGACGACGGCGAUGACGAUGAUGAUGAUGAUGAUGACGACGACGAUGACGACGAUGACCAUCUCGUCGUCGCCCGGAUGUCCGGCGGGAUGCGCGUGCAAGUGGAAGAACGGCAAGCA